UGUGGUGACUCAUAGUAACUUAAUCGGAUCGCAUGGGCUUGUCCCGCGACAAACCAUUCAAGUUUCUGCCCCAUCAUGCUUUCGAUGGUAGUGUAUUGGACUACCAUGGCUUUCACGGGUAACGGAGGAUUAGGGUUCGAUUCCGGAGAGGGAGCCUGAGAAACGGCUACCACUUCCACGGAAGGCAGCAGGCGCGUAAAUUACCCAAUCCUGACUCAGGGAGGUAGUGACAAGAAAUAAUGGGUCGGGGUUCUGCCCCGGGACUGCAAUGAGACGAAUUUAGACCCCUUAUCGAGGACCAAUUGGAGGGCAAGUCUGGUGCCAGCAGCCGCGGUAAUUCCAGCUCCAAUAGCGUAUAUUAAAGUUGUUGCAGUUAAAAAGCUCGUAGUUGGAUUUCUGGUAGUGGGCAAGAGCUCGUUGCACGUUGCUCGCGUUCAUUGCCAUCCUUCUGUUAACCUAUCAGGGCAUUCUAUUGUCAGUUAGGGGCUCAGAUAUUUUACCUUGAGAAAAUUAGAGUGUUUCAGGCAGGCUUGUGCCCGGAUACAUUAGCAUGGAAUAAUGGAAUAGGACUUUAGCCUCUUCUGUUGGUCUGAGGGGUUGAAGUAAUGAUUAAUAGGGAUAGUUGGGGGCAUUAGUACUUAACUGUCAGAGGUGAAAUUCUCGGAUUUGUUAAAGACUAACUUAUGCGAAAGCAUUUGCCAAGGAUGUUUUCAUUAAUCAAGAACGAAAGUUAGGGGAUCAAAGACGAUCAGAUACCGUCCUAGUCUUAACCAUAAACUAUGCCGACUCGGGAUCGGGGGCCAGAGUUAACUGCCUUCGGCACCGUAUGAGAAAUCAAAGUCUUUGGGUUCUGGGGGGAGUAUGGUCGCAAGGCUGAAACUUAAAGGAAUUGACGGAAGGGCACCACCAGGCGUGGAGCUUGCGGCUCAAUUUGACUCAACACGGGGAAACUUACCAGGUCCAGACAUAGUGAGGAUUGACAGAUUGAUAGCUCUUUCUUGAUUCUGUGGGUGGUGGUGCAUGGCCGUUCUUAGUUGGUGGAGUGAUUUGUCUGGUUAAUUCCGUUAACGAACGAGACCUUAGCCUACUAAAUAGUCGCAACAAUUACGAUUGGCUGCGUCUUCUUAGAGGGACUUUGCAAGCAACUGCAAGGAAGUUUGAGGCAAUAACAGGUCUGUGAUGCCCUUAGAUGUCCUGGGCCGCACGCAUGCUACACUGACGCAUACAGCGAGUAUCACCAGCUCCGUGAGGCUGCUGGUAAUCAGCAAUAUGCGUCGUGCUGGGGAUAGAUCUUUGGAAUUUUUGAUCUUGAACGAGGAAUGCCUAGUAAGCGCAGGUCAUCAGCCUGCGUUGAUUAAGUCCCUGCCCUUUGUACACACCGCCCGUCGCUCCUACCGAUUUCGAGUGGUCCGGUGAACCCUUUGGACCGAGAGCGCCUCGUGAGCUUUUGGAAAGUCGAGUAAACCACAUCACUUAGAGGAAGGACAAGUCGUAACAAGGUUUCCGUAGGUGAACCUGCGGAAGGAUCAUUAA
rnacentral:rRNA from 1 species